rnacentral:rRNA from 1 species
UCUGCUAAAAGUAAACAACUAAAUAUUUCUGGUGGUAAUUGCGGAGGGGUCACACCUGUUCCCAUUUCGAACACAGCAGUUAAGUCCUCCAGCGCUGAUGGUACUGCAGGGGUAGCCCUGUGGGAGCGUAGGUCACUGCCAGAA